rnacentral:rRNA from 1 species
ACAAGCGGUGGAGUAUGUGGUUUAAUUCGAUGCAACGCGAGAACCUUACCUGGUCUUGACAUCCCGGAGACCCUUAGGAAACUAGGGGGUGGCUUCCAUCUGGAAGAAGUCUGGGGACAGGUGCUGCAUGGCUGUCGUCAGCUCGUGUCGUGAGAUGUUGGGUUAAGUCCCGCAACGAGCGCAACCCUUGCCUUUAGUUGCCAGCAGUUCGGCUGGGCACUCUAAAGGGACUGCCGGUGGUUAAACCGGAGGAAGUGGGGAUGACGUCAAGUCCUCAUGGCCUUUAUGACCAGGGCUACACACGUACUACAAUGGCCGAUACAAAGGGCAGCGACACUGCGAGGUGAAGCCAAUCCCGUAAAAUCGGUCUCAGUCCGGAUUGGAGUCUGCAACUCGACUCCAUGAAGUUGGAAUCGCUAGUAAUCGUGGAUCAGCAUGCCACGGUGAAUACGUUCCCGGGCCUU